UAAAAACUUCACGGCUUGUUUCCCUGAUGAGUCCACAUCCUGUAGCAAGGGCUAGGAAGCCUCUAAGUGGCCCCAGAACAUGCCGACUUCGGGGUGCUUUGCAGCUUCAGUUAUGUGAAGGUGCCCAAAGAAGCCAGAAGACUGCAUUUGCUUCCCUAGAACUGGAAUUCCAGGCACUUGGGAACUUCCCAGUGUGAAGGCUAAUCAUGGGUCCUCCGAAUACAAAGCUACCUUCUUAACCCCUGAGCCAUCUCUCCAGCCUUGCCAAAAUCGGACUUCUGUGGAAUUACUUUUGAUAUCUGUUAAUGUCAUUCUUUUUGUUUUGACUUAUUGUGAUUUAAAAAUCAGUAAUCAAGGAUGAAAACAA